AAACCAUGAUGGGGGCACUAAGUGGUGUAGGUUUUAAACCUCUCCCAAGCUUCAAAGAAGGUUUCAUUGUUAUUCUGUGUGAAGCCUGAGAUCUCGUUCCUCAAUCU
rnacentral:snoRNA from 1 species